CAUGGUGCCAAAAAUCUGUGCAAAAAAAUAGCUACCGCAGGAAAGGUAAAAGGACAGUCUCUUCUCCUUCACUGGCUGAGGGAUAUAGUUAACCAUUUAUGGUGGUGCUGCAAGACAGCAGAAACAUUUCAGCAGUUUCUUGCACUUUGGAUUGGAGUUCUGCUUCAUGUUUGCAACAAUCACACCUGGGAAACGGGAAGCUGCCAACACGACCACCUUGAAGACACUCAGGUUAAAGAGUGGAUUGAGAGAGAUUCAAAGAGCCAUAAAGCGCUAGUGGAGAUCGUCCUCAACAAGCGUUGGCAGAAGGAUGUCCACAAGUAUCUGCGCUUCAGAUCGACAGCACAUCUCGAGUCAUUUCAGAAUCACAUUCUGAUGUAUGCCAGCAAGCGCCAGGCCUUCACUCCCCGAGUGUAUGACACGAGAGUUGUGCUCGCAGCCCUGGACUACAAUUUCCACCAAGAACGACCAACAUACAGGACGGCUGAGGGCCAACAAGUUUAUAGGAAGAAGUACAAUAAAAAUGCAAGAAGAUAUAGCCUACGCCAUAAAGUGUCAAAAAUCAUAUGGUUACAUCCCAGAGUUACAAGCACGCAUCUUGAAAGGGAGAGUCACAAGUGAAAUUGGGAUGCCAUGAAAGAGGUCCCUAAGAACAGAUGACCCAAGGCGGCUUGGUCUUGUGCCACCGAUACCGUCACCACCGACAUCAGAGUUGGUACAUUCACAGGUCAGCAGAGGUCUGGGUAAGUGACAAACAUCUACUUGCCCUUAUUUUAGCCCAUUAACUUUGCCUCAAACUGA